UACGAAGGGGGCUAGCGUUGCUCGGAAUCACUGGGCGUAAAGCGCGCGCAGGCGGUCUUCCAAGUCAGUGGUGAAAGCCCGGAGCUCAACUCCGGAACUGCCAUUGAAACUGUAAGACUUGAGGAUGAGAGAGGUGAGUGGAAUUCCCAGUGUAGAGGUGAAAUUCGUAGAUAGUUGGGAAGAACACCGGUGGCGAAGGCGGCUCACUGGCUCAUUACUGACGCUCAGGCGCGACAGCGUGGGGAUCAAACAGG
rnacentral:rRNA from 1 species